UACGGAGGGUGCAAGCGUUGUUCGGAAUUACUGGGCGUAAAGCGCGCGUAGGCGGCUUUAUAAGUCAGAUGUGAAAGUCCACGGCUCAACCGUGGAAGUGCAUUUGAAACUGUAAGGCUUGAGUAUUGGAGGGGGUGGUGGAAUUCCCGGUGUAGAGGUGAAAUUCGUAGAUAUCGGGAGGAAUACCGGUGGCGAAGGCGACCACCUGGCCAAAUACUGACGCUGAGGUGCGAAAGCGUGGGGAGCAAACAGG
rnacentral:rRNA from 1 species